UACCGAGGGGGCAAGCGUUGUUCGGAAUUACUGGGCGUAAAGUGCGCGUCGGCGGCCUGUUAAGUCGAACGUGAAAUCCCCGGGCUCAACCCGGGAACUGCGUCCGAUACUGGCAGGCUUGAAUCCGGGAGAGGGAUGCGGAAUUCCAGGUGUAGCGGUGAAAUGCGUAGAUAUCUGGAGGAACACCGGUGGCGAAGGCGGCAUCCUGGACCGGCAUUGACGCUGAGGCGCGAAAGCCAGGGGAGCAAACGGG
rnacentral:rRNA from 1 species